GGUUUCAGAAUUGAAUAGGUAUUCUGAUUGUUUUUUUUUUUUCAUUUCAGGUUCUGAUUUUCCACCCAAAAGUGCUGGAAGCGAUCUUCGUAGUCAAACGUGUUCGUGAGUUUUUCACAUCCUGCCUACAGAUGGCUUGCGCAAUCAAGGGCACUGGUUUAGCCACCCAGCUGACCGGGAAUUCUUUGGUGUGACCGAUUUGGAAGUUCAUUGCUGAUUUUGUGUAUCAUUCGAUGUUAGGGGUCGGUCCAACAGCCGCAGGGAUUGUUAUCUGUGGAGCUAUCAAACGAUUCAACUUUCAAGCUUUGGCGUUGCAGAAUUGUCGGACAAAUGAAAAGGACACAUAAUUCUGUCCGAUUUGUGCAACAGCCACAUGGAGCAGAAGGUCUCGAAUGCCCGUGUAAGCGUACUAGAGUUUAACCAAAUACACUUGAGCUUUACGUGGCUGAAAAUUAUGCGAGUAAAGCUGCUUUCGGAUCGCAUACUCACCGAGUAAACGGUUCUGAAUCGACUGCAGACGGUCUAUGUCGUCCAUAGCUGUUUGCAUGAAAUAUCGAAUCAAAUAAUUCCGGCAGUUGCCAGUGUACCGCAGCAGAUUGAUUUGAAAGCAACCAAUCUAUAGAACCCUAGGAUGUGAAAUGUUUCAGUUGUAGUAUUUGUCUCGAUAAUUCAACUUCGAAACCACUUGAACGACAAACAUCUCAGCUACAUCUAUAAAUGCCCGUCUGGCAAGCAGAUGAGUUUUCCCCAAACCAAAAUAAUGGAUUACAAGGAUGAUGACGAAUUUGAUUUCAAUGAUGAUGACGAAUUGGAUUAAAAUGAUGAUGACGAAUUGAGUACCUGGAACCGGUGCUGUUUGCCGAUAGCGUAGGCCAAACCACAAGGGUUAUUUGCUACCGGAUGUGUUUUCAGUUUUAUCGCAGAGCCGACAUGCAAGAAUGCCAUGCAUUUCUAUUACAGCUGAAGGAUAGUUGUCCAGGCACAGAUGCUUUAAAGCCAAUGUUUAUAGCUCCGGAAUAUGUUCCCUCCUACGUUUGUAUGGAGUAUACGGCCAAAACUGAGGUCUUGAAGUCUAUUGAACAAGUUUAUAAUAAUUCCGAAAAAUGUUUGCAAUCCCUAGAAGAAACGGUAAAAAAUGUGAAGAAACCAGAGUGGGUUGAAAAAUUGGCCGGAUGUGUCUUCAAUUUGAUCGCGGAGCCGACAUGCAAGAGGGCAAUCCAUUUCUGUUACAGCUGGAGGAUAGUGGUCCAGGCACAGAUUCUUUAAAGCUGAUGUUUCUAGCUCCGGAAUAUGUUUCCUCCUACGUUUGUAUGGAGUGUACGGCCAAAACCGAGGUCUAAUUCGAUUCAACUUUGGAACCACUUAAACGACGAGGUUAUAAUAUUCAUUUGGGCACACAUGUCGAGAGGAAUAAUCCAUGCCAGAACGAAAAGGUAGUUCCGAGUUGGAAAGGCAACCGGGGUAGAACACUCACAGAAACUAAGAACAACGAGAUGGACCGAUUCCUUCGCUAGAUGAACAUCCUGAUGGUGAAUUGAUUUUCACAAGUCAACUCCCCAGCCCAAGGUCCAGCAGCAGAUACCGAACCACCCGGAAUUGCCGCGCAGUUUGGUGUAUUAUGACGGAAGGAAGUCGCUUGUGGCCACCAAGAAAGAACUUUUCCAAGCGCGAACCGGAGUCAGUUGGUACACCGAUGCGUCACAGCAAAUAACCCAGCUUAUGACCUCUUACACGGAUGGUCUGGUCCAAUGGAUUGCUUCACAAGAUCGUCGAUCUCUUGGAGAACUGGACAUCACCAAGCAGCAGGAUGUGUUGACGAACAAUCGAGCACUUGGGCCACCGAGUCAUCAUCGGCAAGUGUUGGACUGCCGCGAGGGACAAUUGUGAAGAAAACUCCCCACCCGGUUUCCACAUCUUUCUACAAGUCAACAGCAAAUCCGACUUCUUAAGGCUGCUUCUGCACAUCAUCGACGAAGCCUAUUCUUGACACCUUCAUACCAUUCCCCGGACGCAAAAAUAUCGAGAAUACUUCCCCCUAUGUGCUACAGAUCCUGUGCCGCGGCUCUCAAAACACAGAUGGCGAAUUUUUGGUGUUCUAAGCAGCCGAUCAUCUGCCCCAUUGGGCAAAUCCUAUCAAAAUUUCGAACACCAACAAUGUUUUUUUUAAUAUUGUAACAUUGUAUAUGUAUUGUAAAAUAUGGCAUCCAAAAUUUAUUAAAAAUAUCAAUAGAUCUUUUUUGUUUUAUUUCCAAAAAUUUGGAAUCCGAAUAAAAAUAAACAUCAGGGCAGAAAAACAACAAAAACAACAGGGCAAAGCGUUCGGAUUUUUUGUCCGAUUUCGAUCGGAAAACCGUCAAAUUUUGAUGGGAAAACCAUCUGAUUUUGGUAGGGAAUCUAACCGAUUUCCGUCUUGAAACGACCCGGUUGUUUUGACAGCUCACUCGCAAAAACUUAUCGUCGUCAGGAAAGUUGUUUCACCAGGGCACUGAAUUCGUCGGAAAUCGGUUGGAUUUCUCGUCAGAAUUCUAACCGAUUCACGGGUUGAACGGGCGGAAAUCCUACCGAUUUUGGGCCGAUUUU